ACGGGUGUAGCUCAAUUGGUAGAGCAGCGGUCUCCAAAACCGCAGGUUGGGUGUUCGAGCCACUCCACCCGUG
rnacentral:tRNA from 1 species